AGAAGAGCAAUCAUGAUUUAUUGUAUAUGUAUAUUUUUAUUCUAUUUUAUUUCAGGGUUUUUUUUUAGCAGGAAGAAGCAAAUCAAAGAGAAUGCUUGAUAAAAAAGGAUGUCUAUAAGAAAGAUGAGGUAAUUGCUGGGAUUGGCCAUUGAAAAGUAUCUGGAAAUAUUUUUAUAAUCUUUGUCUUUUGUCCUUGUAAAAACAGGGUGAAAAAGGGAGACGGUAAUUAUGUAGUUGGACCUGCAGAUUGACAAGUAUACGGGUUACGGAAAGUCAAGUCCAGGGAGGAUCAAUAAGUGCAGUGGAGGAAAGACACCAAAUCAGAAAGUAGUCUGAAAAAAAUCUAUGACGGCAUUAAAAUUAAUUGGAUAUUAGACACGACCUGAGUAGAUAUGUAGUUUGUUUAUUCAGCCCUUUAAAAGGUUGAAAUGUGAAAGAUCGAAUCAAACGACUCGCAGAGGCGUCUAAUUAUCAGCCCGCCGGCGUGGUGGCGGGCGACACUCGCUCUCCCUCUGAUAUACGAUAUUCAACAGCUGUCACACAUAAAAAGUCGAUUUUUCAUCGCUGAUAUUUACUCAUAACGGCUCAGAUUAUGAGCGGUCAUGAAUCUUCCAAAAAUCUUUCUUCCCUCCACUUCAUGUGCUGGCACCACUCGCCUACGUCGUAAAAAGAGAUCCGUCACUGAGCUCAUGAGUGAAUACACGUUAAUCUCUGUUCUCUAUUGAUCGGGUGUUGUAAACAAGACGGCCUUGGAAACCAGCCAGGGUAAGACGACUUCGAGGGGCCCCGGCUGACUCCCCACUGUCUGCCGUCAUACGUCGAUCGGCUCCCUUCAGGACACAAUUCAAGCCACAGUAGAUCAAGGAGAGGCCUUCGAGGAAGAAGCUGCCACCCAUUUAAUUGACAUUUCCAGACGCAGGACUCAGCAUUGUGACUCCAGGUGAAUACAUUUUCAUCUCAUCAGUGUCCUGUUGAUUACACACUGUGUGUUUUGAGUUCUUCCGAUGAAAGAUUCCGAUUGUGCGUACACUUCUGUCUGUGAGUCAGCACUGCUUUACGUGUGUGUGUGUGUGUGUGUGUGUGUGUUUUUGUUUAUAUGCCUUGCUCCCCCCACCUUUUUUCCAAUCCUCCAGUCUCCCAGGAAGACAGAUAUAAGGUAGUUAAAUAUUAAAUAUCCAAUAUGGAGCCAAUCUAUAAUAAAGACGUUGAUUGUGUGUACACACACACACACACACACGCCUGAUGUCUCAUGUUGGGAUCUUUUUUCCAUAUUCUUGUCUCAGAUAACCACGGUAUCUUACAGAGACACAGGACUUUCUUACACCCACCCAAUGUCUCUCUCUCUCUCUUUCUCUCUCUCUCUCUCUCACACACACACACACACACACACACACAUACACACACACCUUAUGUCUCAUUUCGGGAUCUUUUUUCCAUAUUCUUGUCUCAGAUAACCACAGUAUCAUACAGAGACACAGACA